rnacentral:rRNA from 1 species
UACGUAGGGUGCGAGCGUUUAAUCGGAAUUACUGGGCGUAAAGUGUGCGCAGGCGGCAAAGCAAGUCGAGUGUGAAAGCCCCGGGCUUAACUUGGGAAUUGCGCUCGAAACUACUUUGCUGGAGUGUGGCAGAGGAAGGUGGAAUUCCGACGUGUAGCGGUGAAAUGACGUAGAGAUGUGGAGGAACACCAAUGGCGAAGGCAGCCUUCUGGGCCAACACGU